rnacentral:rRNA from 1 species
GACAUAGGGGGCAAGCGUUGCUCGGAAUCACUGGGCGUAAAGGGCGCGUAGGCGGGAUGGCAAGUCGGUCGUGAAAUCCUUCGGCUCAACCGAAGAACGUCGGCCGAUACUGCUGUUCUUGAGGGAUGCAGAGGAGAUUGGAAUUCCCGGUGUAGCGGUGAAAUGUGUAGAGAUCGGGAGGAACACCGGUGGCGAAGGCGGGUCUCUGGGCAUUAACUGACGCUGAGGAGCGAAAGCAUGGGGAGCGAACAGG